rfam:Schistosoma mansoni strain Puerto Rico chromosome 2, complete genome
AUCCAGCUGACGAAUCCCAAAUAGAACGAAACGCGCGUCAAACUGGAU